rnacentral:tRNA from 1 species
UGGAAUUUAGCUUAUUGGUAAAGCAUUUGUCUAGCAUGCAUGAGACCCUGGAUUCGAUCCCCAGCAUUGCAA